rnacentral:rRNA from 1 species
UACGUAGGGAGCAAGCGUUGUUCGGAAUUACUGGGCGUAAAGAGUGUGUAGGCGGUGCUCUAAGUCUGUUGUGAAAUCUCCCGGCUUAACUGGGAGGGUGCGGCGGAGACUGGAGUGCUAGAGUGUGGGAGAGGUAAGCGGAAUUCCUGGUGUAGCGGUGAAAUGCGUAGAUAUCAGGAGGAACACCGGUGGUGUAGACGGCUUUCUGGACCGUAACUGACGCUGAGACACGAAAGCGUGGGUAGCAAACAGG